rnacentral:tRNA from 1 species
CGGUAGCUCAGCUGGAUAGAGUGACGGACUUCGAAUCCGGAGGUCGCAGGUUCGAAUCCUGCUCGG